rnacentral:misc_RNA from 1 species
ACACCUCAACUCUCAUGGCUUGCCAUGGAUGAGCUUGGACUUUGGGGGUCUUGCUGGCCUGUGGUCAGCUCCUCUCAAAUGAAUCAGCUUACCAGUGUUUGGUGGCAUCACAGGUGUGAUAACUAUCUGCGCUUGUGGUUUUCCAUCAUGUAACCUUCAGUGAUGAAGGUUCACUGGGGCUCAUAAAUGUCUCUCCUCAAUGAGGACAGCCCUUUGAAU